rfam:Schistosoma rodhaini strain Burundi genome assembly, scaffold: SROB_scaffold0016400
AUCUGGCUGACGAGUCCCAAACAGGACGAAACGCGCGUCCUGGAU